GACGAACGCUGGCGGCGUGCCUAAUACAUGCAAGUUGAGCGCUGAAGGUUGGUACUUGUACCAACUGGAUGAGCAGCGAACGGGUGAGUAACGCGUGGGGAAUCUGCCUUUGAGCGGGGGACAACAUUUGGAAACGAAUGCUAAUACCGCAUAAAAACUUUAAACACAAGUUUUAAGUUUGAAAGAUGCAAUUGCAUCACUCAAAGAUGAUCCCGCGUUGUAUUAGCUAGUUGGUGAGGUAAAGGCUCACCAAGGCGAUGAUACAUAGCCGACCUGAGAGGGGGCUCGGCCACGUUGGGCCUGAGACACGGCCCAACCUCCUGCGGGAGGCAGCCGUAGGGAAUCUUCGGCAAUGGCCGCAAGUCUGACCGGGCAACGCCGCGUGAGGGCAGGAGGGUUUCGGGUCGUAAAACUCUGUUGGGAGUGAAGAACGUUGGUGUGAGUGGAAAGCGCAUCAAGUGACGGUACCUACCCAGAAAGGGACGGCUAACUACGUG
rnacentral:rRNA from 1 species